rnacentral:lncRNA from 1 species
UGUGUAUUAGUUGUAGGGAAGACAAGGUUCAGAAUUCAUUACAACAAAAGAUAGUUGAAGGAUAGCAAAAUAAGAACAAUUUAAGAGAGAGAGAGAUUAAUCAGAAGGAAAAUUAUUACACAACUUUCACACCCCACUCAUUACAUAAUCACUCAAUUUAACAUUCUUCCUCAUGCGAUGUCUGCUUCUACGUAUUCCAUUUGCUGCAUGAUCUUGUGCCACGUGUACUAAUUCCCCCACUUUCUCUUUUUCCAUAACCGAAUUUCCCACAUCAUCUUCUACCUCCUUGUCACGUGUUAUAAGCAUUUUCCUCUUCCUUAAUGGAUAAUAUCUUAGCUCAAUGGAGAGGAUCUUGUUCAUUCUCAUGUGGUUGCACACAACAUUGGCAUAUGAAACACAUAAAUGGCAGAUGAAAUUGUCCAAUUCGUUUCCAGUCAUAACCUAUAAGAUGCCUCGAUACAAAGACAAAAGUGCCAUCACGAGUUCAUUUUCCAGACAUAGAAUUUCCCAACUGAAAACAAAGCAAAAGAAGCAAAAGUGUGUUCCGUGCGAAGGAAUGACGGAUGCAAUGGAGGUUUUUGUGGAAAAUGAGGCAAGGAGGAAGAAACAAGCUUGGAAGACCACCACCAUGGUCGAUGCAGUGAGGAAGGCAAUCAGAGAAAAUGAUGAACUUUUAUUUUAUUUUUUUCGUGUGCCAUACAUCACCUAAAGUCAGCAGAAUUGACAAAAAAGAUUUUUUUGUACUAAAGUUAGCAGAACUAAUAUUUGUGGUUGUUCCUCCCAACAAAUGUCGCUCAUAGAAAUCAAAUUUUUAUUCUUAGAAUCCAGUAGGACCUUAUACCACCAAACCGGUUCUAGUCGACAAAAAUGAUUUAAUACAUUUACUUGAAACAAAAAACUUAUAAGAACGAAUAUUAACCUAAAAAUACAUAUGUGGCACACUAAACAAUCAACGAACUAAAGCAAAUGUGAUCAUAAUGGUUAUGGCAGAUAUUUGAAGAAGACAUGAAUUACAAGAGACAAUCAUGGAGGCUCGAAUAUACAACUAAAUGAAGACCAAUAUGGUACACACAAAAUAUUGAGAGAUUGAAUUAGUUAAUUUUUGAAGAAUUAGGAAUGAAAAAUAUUUUUUCAUGGUGAAAAGACUUUGUAAUUUUUUAAUUUCCAACUUGGAUAUUAUAAAAAAUUCACAUUGAUAUUUAAUAUGUCAGCACUUUUAUUACCAUUAAUUGAAUGGAGGGACUAAUGUGAAUUACAAAGAAGAAAAAAGAAUACUAAAUUGAUAAUACAUUUUUAUUAAUGUCGGAUUAUGGGAAAAUAACUUUAUUGCCCAAAAUAAAUGAUUACUCUUAAUUUUAAAUUAUUAAUGUAUUUGAAAUAUGAUUUAUAGUAGGAUCAACAUUUGUUGUACCAAAAGAGUGUUUCAUUCCAUUUGAUACUUAUUCUAAUUGGUUGAAAAAUAUACAUUUAAGUUUAAAACUUAAUGAUAAAGUAUUUUUCUGACCAAUCAUAUAAAGUGACAAAUGGAGUGACACUUUUUGGGAUAGAAGAUGUGUUCACUUUAUAAUAGCAUGCAUGUUUCUCAAUUCAUCUAUACAUUUGAGAAACUAACAAGAUGUUGGUUUAGUGGUGUAAGGCCACACUUGAUCCCUAAGGUCGAAGGUUCGAUUGAUGAGAGCGACAUUUGUUCGGAGGGGCGGUCACGAAUCCCGAAAGAGAUUAAUUUCUUACCCAAAAGGCAAGAAGAUACCCUUGGUAGUACCAAAAAAUGCAAUUGAGAAACACGUGGUAGAAGGUUGCGCCGAAUCUUCUUAAAUUCGAACACCUUGUCCGUCAAUGGGGAUAUGUUACUCCCAAACUUGUCCCAAACCAAUCAUAAUAAUGUAAAAAUAGAAAAGGUCAUAAAUGUUGUCGCGUUCUAGUCGACAAAAAUGAUUUAAUACAUUUACUUGAAACAAAAAACUUAUAAGAACGAAUAUUAACCUAAAAAUACAUAUGUGGCACACUAAACAAUCAACGAACUAAAGCAAAUGUGAUCAUAAUGGUUAUGGCAGAUAUUUGAAGAAGACAUGAAUUACAAGAGACAAUCAUGGAGGCUCGAAUAUACAACUAAAUGAAGACCAAUAUGGUACACACAAAAUAUUGAGAGAUUGAAUUAGUUAAUUUUUGAAGAAUUAGGAAUGAAAAAUAUUUUUUCAUGGUGAAAAGACUUUGUAAUUUUUUAAUUUCCAACUUGGAUAUUAUAAAAAAUUCACAUUGAUAUUUAAUAUGUCAGCACUUUUAUUACCAUUAAUUGAAUGGAGGGACUAAUGUGAAUUACAAAGAAGAAAAAAGAAUACUAAAUUGAUAAUACAUUUUUAUUAAUGUCGGAUUAUGGGAAAAUAACUUUAUUGCCCAAAAUAAAUGAUUACUCUUAAUUUUAAAUUAUUAAUGUAUUUGAAAUAUGAUUUAUAGUAGGAUCAACAUUUGUUGUACCAAAAGAGUGUUUCAUUCCAUUUGAUACUUAUUCUAAUUGGUUGAAAAAUAUACAUUUAAGUUUAAAACUUAAUGAUAAAGUAUUUUUCUGACCAAUCAUAUAAAGUGACAAAUGGAGUGACACUUUUUGGGAUAGAAGAUGUGUUCACUUUAUAAUAGCAUGCAUGUUUCUCAAUUCAUCUAUACAUUUGAGAAACUAACAAGAUGUUGGUUUAGUGGUGUAAGGCCACACUUGAUCCCUAAGGUCGAAGGUUCGAUUGAUGAGAGCGACAUUUGUUCGGAGGGGCGGUCACGAAUCCCGAAAGAGAUUAAUUUCUUACCCAAAAGGCAAGAAGAUACCCUUGGUAGUACCAAAAAAUGCAAUUGAGAAACACGUGGUAGAAGGUUGCGCCGAAUCUUCUUAAAUUCGAACACCUUGUCCGUCAAUGGGGAUAUGUUACUCCCAAACUUGUCCCAAACCAAUCAUAAUAAUGUAAAAAUAGAAAAGGUCAUAAAUGUUGUCGCGCCCGAUUUUCGGUUACGCGACCUCUUAGAGUCGCCACUACAUUUUAUGAUAAAAAAUGUAAAAAAAUAUUUUAAGCACAAUCACAUUGGGAUUUUGGAUUGUGAUAUCCAGGUUCGGGAGUCGAUUAAGGAUCGAGGAAUGUAUUAGCACCUCGUCCACCCGUAAUUAAAUGAUACCAUUUUGUAUGAUUUAAAUACCCUUAGUUUAUUUCAAAUUAGAUUGUGUAAAACAAAAUAUUUAUUUUUUAUUUUUAUGUCUGACAAGAUUAAAUCUUGCUCCUACGUAUCUCUAAACAUUUUAGGAAAUCAAGACUACGUAGUUCUAAAUUUUAAAAUGGUUUGUUGGUAAAAUAAUUAACUCCUUAAAAAGGGUGAAGCAUCAGAAACUAAUGUUCGUACCGCAUCCCAUUUUAAAAAAGUUUGCAAAUAAUUAUAAUAUAUUUUUUAUUUUUUAUUGUUAAUUUAGGAAUUAACCGAGUGAAAAGAAGUGUCGUAACGCGACCAUUCAAGGAUAAUAUGAGGACAAUAAGUGUUAACACGGCCUGUCUCCACCCUUUGAUUAAUCCCACAAAAAUUAUAAAAUUUUUAUAAACUUUGAUAAUGUUAUGGAAUCAUUUUUUGAGGCAAAUAGUUUAUUAUUAAGGACAUCUUUAUUUUAAAUGUUCUGUUUUUCUUUUUUAAAAUAAUUUUUUUAUUUAAUUACAAAAAUAACAAAUAUUCAACUAGUUAGUAAAAAAUAAGAGAAAUAAAAAAGGUUAAUUGAUUAUUAGUAUUCUUACCCUUUUUGUUAAAGUAUUUAUACAAUAAAAAAAUUAGUAUUUAUUCAAUGAAAAAAUUAUUUAGCAUUUUUAACUUACUAUCACAAUAAAAAUAAAUUAUAGUUAGUGAAAUAUAAUUGUUAUCAUCAAAAGAAAUAAAAAUGCUUAUACAAUAAGAAGAUAUUAAAAAUUUAUGUACCUGGAUGGCUUUUAAUCUAGUUCAACAGGGAACACAGUGAGCUUCCACGUGCCACUUAAAGAGUGGCUAGAAAGGGUUGCUGCAGGGACUGCGCCACAUGGUGGAUUCAAGUUUGCUCAGUCUGAAGGGUGUACGGUGCUUAGUAUGCGCACGGUUACACUAAACCAAAGACUAAAACGUGAUGUGAUGCGGUGCAAGUGUGAGUAUUGUGAACGUUGUGCACCCACCAAAUGCCAGACCUGGAUUGGUUGGAGGCACGGGUAAACAGAGUCUAUUGUGGGUUCGUUUGCACUAGAACGUGAGCGUGCGUAAAGAUGCGGUGCACAUGUCGCUGUCUGGUUGGCUAUGGUUUCUGAUCAACAGAAUGGACGUGAUGAAGACUUAUCCAAUGGCUAGAGUGAUGGGUACACACUCCUUACAGUGGUCUCACCCACACUGGAUUAAACGAUCCUCACUUUCUUCUUUCUCCUUCUUUUGUUUUUUUUAAAUG